rnacentral:rRNA from 1 species
GACGAACGCUGGCGGCGUGCUUAACACAUGCAAGUCGAACGGAAAGGCCCUGCUUUUGUGGGGUGCUCGAGUGGCGAACGGGUGAGUAACACGUGAGUAACCUGCCCUUGACUUUGGGAUAACUUCAGGAAACUGGGGCUAAUACCGGAUAGGAGCUCCUGCUGCAUGGUGGGGGUUGGAAAGUUUCGGCGGUUGGGGAUGGACUCGCGGCUUAUCAGCUUGUUGGUGGGGUAGUGGCUUACCAAGGCUUUGUCGGGUAGCCGGCCUGAGAGGGUGACCGGCCACAUUGGGACUGAGAUACGGCCCAGACUCCUACGGGAGGCAGCAGUGGGGAAUAUUGCACAAUGGGCGGAAGCCUGAUGCAGCAACGCCGCGUGCGGGAUGACGGCCUUCGGGUUGUAAACCGCUUUCGCCUGUGACGAAGCGUGAGUGACGGUAAUGGGUAAAGAAGCACCGGCUAACUACGU